rnacentral:lncRNA from 1 species
AAGGGGGCGGGCCCGCGAGCUCGACAGCCCGGAGCCAAAGGGGCGGAAGGUCGCCGAGUGCUGGGAGGGGAGGUGGGGCAGCGACUGAGCGCCGCAGGAGCUGGCUGCAACCCAGACGCGGCCCGGGAGCGUCGGGAAUGGCAGUGUGGACCUCUGUGAUGGGACAUCUUGUGGGAUCUCACAGCCAGUUCUGUGGCAAAGGAGGAUGAAGGCUUACGAGGACUCGUCAGGAAGCUGGAUAACAGAGCGAGCGCAAUGUGCUAGAAUAGAAGACCAGAAAAUGAAAUGGUGGAGUUUGAGGCUGGAUAGACAGUUUGAAAGGGCUCCUGUGACAAGUGGACAUGCAGUGACUGCACCUUUGUUUCUGAGGUGCCUGGAUGGAGGCUCAAAUAGAAGAUGGUGUCAGAUAUAUUGUGUUAAAAUUUUACCAUUAAAGUGUAUUAUAACAUGAA